AUUGAACGCUGGCGGCAUGCUUUACACAUGCAAGUCGAACGGUAACAGGGAGCUUGCUCCGCUGACGAGUGGCGAACGGGUGAGUAAUGCGUCGGAACGUGCCGAGUAGUGGGGGAUAACGCAGCGAAAGUUGUGCUAAUACCGCAUACGUACUGAGGUAGAAAGUGGGGGACCUUCGGGCCUCACGCUAUUCGAGCGGCCGACGUCUGAUUAGCUAGUAGGUGAGGUAAAGGCUUACCUAGGCGACGAUCAGUAGCGGGUCUGAGAGGAUGAUCCGCCAAACUGGGACUGAGAAACGGCCCAGACUCCUACGGGAGGCAGCAGUGGGGAAUUUUGGACAAUGGGCGAAAGCCUGAUCCAGCCAUGCCGCGUGUCUGAAGAAGGCCUUCGGGUUGUAAAGGACUUUUGUCGGGGAGGAAAUCCCCAGCGCUAAUACCGCUGGGGGAUGACAGUACCUGAAGAAUAAGCACCGGCUAACUACGUGCCAGCCGCCGCAGUAACAC
rnacentral:rRNA from 1 species